CUACAGCAGUUUGUUCUGUUGGUCUGGAAAUAAUCCGAUUAAUGUUGCCAUUCACUCUGGAAUUUCCAGCCACUCACACUCACAUGCUCUAAGAGCCGCGCUAAUAUUCUCUCCAUCAUAGUGUCUGCUCUGAACAUCUGAACUCAUGAACACCUAACACACGCUAAUAUUCACAUGUUCACUCCAUCGUAACGACUGAACUCAUAUCACGCACGCUAAUGCUAAUAAUACUCAUGUAAGGCUCUGCUUGACUUGUUGAUGAUAACUUGGGUGAUGGGUGGUUGACAGGUAUUGUGUGAGUGGUUGCUAGGGUAUCGUGAAUGGUCGCCAAUGAGUUGCUAGGAUCUUCUGGGUUGUUUCCAGGGUGUUGCUGGGGUGGUUUAGGUGGUUGCUACUUGCUAGUGUGUUUUAUAUGGCCACUAAGGUGUUCUGGGUAACUGACAGAGCGUUGCUAGGAGUUAUGGGUGGUUGCUAGGGUGCGUUGAGUUAUUGUCAGGGAAUUACUAUUGAGUAAUGGGGUGGUUGCUAGGGUGUUUGCCUGGGCAUUGCUAAGGUACUAUAGGUAGUUGCCAGGGAGUGGCUAUUGCAUUCUAAGUGGUUUUUAGUGUUCUGAGUGGUUGCCAGGGUAUUAUGAAUGGUUACUAUGGUGUUCUACAUGGCUACUAAGGUUGUCCGGGUGUUUGCUAGUGCAGGGCAUUGUGGGUGUUGCCAGGGAGUUCCUAUAAUAUUCUGUAUUGUUGCCAAGGUGUUGCUGGGGUUUACAGGUGGUUGCCAGGGAAUUGCUAGUGGGUUAUAGGUGGUUACUAGGGUGGUUUAGGUGGUUGCUACAUGAUAGUGUGUCUUAUUUGGUCACUAAGGUGUUCUGAGUAAUUGACAGAGCGUUGCUAGAGUAAUAUAGGUAGUUGCCAUGGGUUAUUAAAGUGUUUUGGGUGGUUGCCUGGGUGUUGCUAGGGUAUUAUGAGUGGUUGCUAGGGUGAUCUACAUGGCUUAGUUUUCAGGGUUGUUGCCAGUGUAUUACUAAGGUAUUGUGGGUGAUGCCAGGAAGUUCCUAUGAUGUUCUGGGUGGUUGCCAAGGUGUUGCUGGGGUUUACAGGUGGUUGUCAGGGAAUUGUAGUGAGUUAUAGGUGGUUACUAAAGUGUUCUGGGUAGUUGUCAUGGUGUUGCUAUGGUAAUAUAGGUUUUGGGUGGUUGUUCCUUGCUGUGGUGUUUUAUGUGGUCGCUACAGUGUUCUGGGUAAUUAAUAGAGCAUUGCUAGGGUGUUAUGGGUGGUUGCUAGUGUGUUCUGGGUGUUGCUAGGGUACUAUAGCUAGUUGCCAGGGAGUGACUAGGGUGUUCUAAAUGGUUGUUAAAGUGUUCUGGGUGGUUGCCAGGGUGUUGCUAGAGUAUUAUGAGUGGUUGCUAGGGUGUUCUUUUGUGGUUUCAAAGGUAUUUUAGGUGGUUGCUAGGGUAUUAUGGGAUGUUGCAGGUGAAGUGAAUGUUUGUUUAGCCCCGUUCACACCAAGAAUGAUAACUAUAACGAUAACGAUAUUAGCGUCCACAUCAGCGAACGAUAUCGGCUGUAAGCGCACGCUCGUCUGCUGCUUUAAAUUCUCAAGCUCGUUUGAACAGGAUUGAUUCUGAUUGGGCGUCAAUGUUUUUAUCCUUCAUCCCAACGAUAUCUUUUAUCUGUGCCUUUAUCGUUAUAGCUGCUAUUUAUUAAUACUGAGAGUGAUUUUUAGAACUGUAUCUUUAUCGUAUUUCUAUAUAGUUAUCGUGCUUGGUGUGAACGGGCCUUUAGGGUGAUACAUUGUUACUUAGUGUUAUUGGUGGUUGCUGGGGUAUUAUUAUGGGAUGUUGCCUUUUUUAAAACAUCGCAGCUGAGAAUAAAAUAGAACAGAAUUGAGCUGAAUGUGUGACGCAGUGGUCUCAAUAAUGCAAAUAAAGCAGUGCUGAUCCAGACACAGUGACCGUGGUGAACGUGUGUGUGUGUGUGUGUGUGUGUGUGUGUGUGUGUGUGUGUGAGGUCAGCUGGAGUCUCUCCCAGCAGGCAGCUGAUCAUGUACCUCAUGUCUCUGUGGGCGGAUUCAGUCAGGAUCGGCUGUAUAAAGGCUGAAUAACAGCAUUACAGUCUCACAGAGCCGAGACGCAGAGCCGGACUUCAGCAGAUCCGAUCCUCAUGGAGAAGCUGCGGGAACUGGUUCUCUUCAUCAGAGAGGUGUUGAGGCAGAAGCCGAGCCGGGGUCUGCUGAAGGUCUAUUUGGUGGGCUCGCUCCUGGCUGUCCUGGGCUCAGUUUUAGGGCUGCUGGAGCUGCUGUUUCAGCCCUUCAGCUCUGAAGAGCCGGAGAUCAGCUCUCUGAUGACCCGAUGGGACAAACACAAACUCUCUGAAACCACGCUCAGAAGCUCUGCUCACCGGAUACACGCCUUCUAGACUCACUCCAGACCCGUCCCGCGGGAGGAAUGAUGUAUACAUCACACUAAAGACCGGGUCUGAGGUGGUCUGAGUGUUUUGUAUUUAGACAUGCACAUCAAUGACUUACUGUUUUACAGUAAUUUUUCAGAUCCAGGUGUUUACAUUGUUUUAUUUACUUUAUAUUUAUUUUCAAACCAAUAAAGGACUUAGAACAUGAACAGUAUAACAGAACAUGAAGUGCAUUCCUCAAGUUCUCAUUUGGUAAUAAGCCAGAUAAGCUGUUAUUUUACUAUUUUAUGAAAGUUCAUUUUACUGACAGAGUGUCUGUGUCUACUAUAGAAAUAAUUCAAGUGUAAAAAUGCAUUAUAGGAUGGAUUUACAAAAAUGUACAUCUAAAAUGGGUUUGCGUUCUAUCGCGUUCCCGAGAAUAAAAAACUUUGAAAUAUA